rnacentral:misc_RNA from 1 species
GAUGAAGAACGCAGCGAAAUGCGAUAAGUAAUGUGAAUUGCAGAAUUCAGUGAAUCAUCGAAUCUUUGAACGCACAUUGCGCCCGCUAGUAUUCUGGCGGGCAUGCCUGUUCGAGCGUCAUUUCAACCAUCAAGCCCUGCUUGUGUUGGGGUCCUGCGGCUGCCCGCAGGCCCUGAAAACCAGUGGCGGGCUCGCUAGUCACACCGAGCGCAGUAGCACAUCUCGCUCAGGGCGUGCGGCGGGCUCCAGCCGUUAAAGCACCCACCUUUCGCAAGGUUGACCUCGGAUCAGGUAGGAAUACCCGCUGAACUUAAGCAUAUCAAUAAGCGGAGGA